rnacentral:rRNA from 1 species
GAUGAACGCUGGCGGCGUGCCUAAUACAUGCAAGUCGAGCGAACAGACGAGGAGCUUGCUCCUCUGACGUUAGCGGCGGACGGGUGAGUAACACGUGGAUAACCUACCUAUAAGACUGGGAUAACUUCGGGAAACCGGAGCUAAUACCGGAUAAUAUAUUGAACCGCAUGGUUCAAUAGUGAAAGACGGUUUUGCUGUCACUUAUAGAUGGAUCCGCGCCGCAUUAGCUAGUUGGCAAGGUAACGGCUUACCAAGGCAACGAUGCGUAGCCGACCUGAGAGGGUGAUCGGCCACGCUGGAACUGAGACACGGUCCAGACUCCUACGGGAGGCAGCAGUAGGGAAUCUUCCGCAAUGGGCGAAAGCCUGACGGAGCCACGCCGCGUGAGUGAUGAAGGUCUUCGGAUCGUAGAGCUCUGUUAUUAGGGAAGAACAAAUGUGUAAGUAACUAUGCACGUCUUGACGGUACCUAAUCAGAGAGCCGCGGCUCACUACGUG